CCAGAUAUUGAUCAGUAUUAAUAGCCAAGAUAUGUUUGAAAACUUCUAAUGUCACUGUUUUUCCUACUUCCACCUUAAAGACUUAUCGCAAAAAGUAAAGACACACAACAGACACCAUUGAAACGCUUCAAAAGACUUUAUUUGUACCAAACAAAAGACUGUAUUGGACAUUGUCACGCCUCAGUAUGUUUUUCUAAAUAAUUUUUUUCUAGAAUCUUUUAGGCAAGGGUUAAUAAUUGGAAAGUUCGUUUCCAUUAUAUUGUGUCACUUCCUGUCUAACACCUUUUUAGUAAUGAUGCACUGAUUGUCUCCACACUUGACAAAGAGCCUUCUAUGGUUCGAAACAUGUAGUGUUGGCAAAUAAACACUGAUGAUUUAGCAGUUAA